rnacentral:rRNA from 1 species
GAUGAACGCUGGCGGCGUGCCUAAUACAUGCAAGUCGAGCGAACGGACGAGAAGCUUGCUUCUCUGAUGUUAGCGGCGGACGGGUGAGUAACACGUGGAUAACCUACCUAUAAGACUGGGAUAACUUCGGGAAACCGGAGCUAAUACCGGAUAAUAUUUUGAACCGCAUGGUUCAAAAGUGGAAGACGGUCUUGCUGUCACUUAUAGAUGGAUCCGCGCUGCAUUAGCUAGUUGGUAAGGUAACGGCUUACCAAGGCAACGAUGCAUAGCCGACCUGAGAGGGUGAUCGGCCACACUGGAACUGAGACACGGUCCAGACUCCUACGGGAGGCAGCAGUAGGGAAUCUUCCGCAAUGGGCGAAAGCCUGACGGGGCAACGCCGCGUGAGUGAUGAAGGUCUUCGGAUCGUAAAACUCUGUUAUUAGGGAAGAACAUAUGUGUAAGUAACUGUGCACAUCUUGACGGUACCUAAUCAGAAAGCCACGGCUAACUACGUG